GGAAUAUUGGACAAUGGGCGAAAGCCUGAUCCAGCCAUGCCGCGUGUGUGAAGAAGGUCUUCGGAUUGUAAAGCACUUUAAGUUGGGAGGAAGGGUAUUAACCUAAUACGUUAGUACUUUGACGUUACCGACAGAAUAAGCACCGGCUAACUCUGUGCCAGCAGCCGCGGUAAUACAGAGGGUGCAAGCGUUAAUCGGAAUUACUGGGCGUAAAGCGCGCGUAGGUGGUUUGUUAAGUUGAAUGUGAAAUCCCCGGGCUCAACCUGGGAACUGCAUCCAAAACUGGCAAGCUAGAGUAUGGUAGAGGGUAGUGGAAUUUCCUGUGUAGCGGUGAAAUGCGUAGAUAUAGGAAGGAACACCAGUGGCGAAGGCGACUACCUGGACUGAUACUGACACUGAGGUGCGAAAGCGUGGGGAGCAAACAGGAUUAGAUACCCCUG
rnacentral:rRNA from 1 species